UUGAGCCGUAUGCGCUGAAAGGCGCACGUACGGUUCUUAGGGGGCGUCGGACCAGCAAUGGUCCGGCGCCACCCGAC
rnacentral:ncRNA from 1 species